rnacentral:rRNA from 1 species
GACGAACGCUGGCGGCGUGCUUAACACAUGCAAGUCGAACGGAAAGGCCCUGCUUUUGUGGGGUGCUCGAGUGGCGAACGGGUGAGUAACACGUGAGUAACCUGCCCUUGACUUUGGGAUAACUUCAGGAAACUGGGGCUAAUACCGGAUAGGAGCUCCUGCUGCAUGGUGGGGGUUGGAAAGUUUCGGCGGUUGGGGAUGGACUCGCGGCUUAUCAGCUUGUUGGUGGGGUAGUGGUUUACCAAGGCUUUGACGGGUAGCCGGCCUGAGAGGGUGACCGGCCACAGUGGGACUGAGAUACGGCCCAGACUCCUACGGGAGGCAGCAGUGGGGAAUAUUGCACAAUGGGCGGAAGCCUGAUGCAGCAACGCCGCGUGCGGGAUGACGGCCUUCGGGUUGUAAACCGCUUUCGCCUGUGACGAAGCGUGAGUGACGGUAAUGGGUAAAGAAGCACCGGCUAACUACGUG